CCUACGGUAGGCUGCAGUGAGGAAUAUUGGUCAAUGGACGAGAGUCUGAACCAGCCAAGUAGCGUGAAGGAUGACUGCCCUCUGGGUUGUACACUUCUUUUAUAUGGGAAUAAAAUGUUCCACGUGUGAGAUUUUGUAUGUACCAUAUGAAUACGAGUCGGCUAACUCCGUCCCCGCCGCCGCGGUGAUACUGAGGAUCCGAGCGUUAUCCGGAUUUAUUGGUUUUAAAGGUAACGUAGGUGGAUUGUUAAGUCAGUUGUGAAAGUUUGCGGCUCAAACGUAAACUUGCAGUGGAGACUGGCAGUCUUGAGUGCAGUAGAGGUGGGUGGAAUUCGUGGUGUAGCGGUGAAAUGCUUAGAUAGAACGAAGAACUCCGAUUGCGAAGGCAGCUCACUGGACUGCAACGGACACUGAGGCUCGAAAGUGUGGGGAUCAAACAGGAUUAGAUACCCGUGUAGUC
rnacentral:rRNA from 1 species